AUUGUUGGGUAAAAAGCAAAGAAUUGGCAAAUAUUGUGACAAGAAUUGGCUUCAAAUCGUGAUAGAAAUCACUUUCCUUUAGGCUUUAUUUGUCCGAUAUAAAGUGCAAUAACCUUGGACAAAUAUGCUUUAGGAUAAGAUGAAGUUUUGUUUGUCUUAAACUCUUGCACAAAGCAAGACAAACCCUUUGUGAACUAAGGAGUGCUUUUGAGAGAGUAAGGAUAGUAGGAAAGUGAUUUUCUGCAGCAAACCACUCUCUACUUGACCUCUUUAUAUAGGAAGAUUGUUUGGGAAACAAAGGAUCUCAUUUAACACUUGUAUGAACAGAUUCAAAGUAUUGUGUAUGAAUAGAUUCAAAGUAUUGUGUACACAUUCAUGCACUUUAAUUCAUGCAUCUCAUGAUCAUUAUAUCAAAACAUGAAUCUAUCCUUUAAUUCAAUAAUUCCCAUAUACAUGAAUACAUUCAUAAAUGAAUGUACAUUUUAGAAACAUUCACAAUACUAUACAUGUACCAAAAAUCAAUGAAUAUACAUUAAUUUCAUGUAUGUACAUCAUACAAAUUUUGAAAAGUUUCCAACAAUCCCCCGCCAUUUUCAAAAUUUAGAAAGUGAAUUUCUAAAAGGUCACCAAGUAAUCUGACACUCAUAUGCAUAAAUAAUGGUGUCUUUCAAUUGAACCACUAUCUUAGUGAAGGUUCUUUGAAAUCAAUCUUUCAAGAUGGUAGACAAGCUUUGAACCACUUGGACAUUGGACCAACCUCAUAAACACAGCACACACUGAGCAAUGCACAACCAUAAGUUCUUCAACGAUACAUUUUACGGCCUUGUAUCACUAUCCUUUCAUGAAUGUUUACAAAGUAAAGUCCUUAACUUUGUGGUUUGCCGAAAACCAACAUUCAUAUAGGCGACAUCUUAGUGCCCCCGCCAUAGAUAGCACUUUUAAGAUUCGUUAAGAGUCCAAUGACUCAUCCUUACAUUUGCACUGGCGAGAAUAACAUGCACUAUUCAACAUUGGGAUGACUAAACUUCACAUAGUGCACCAACCACUAGAAUGGUGUACUUUCACUCAUUGAAUUCAAGACUAGACGUUGUAUCUAGCGUUGAAUUGAGGUUCCACCAUUAGUGAUCAAGAAUUUUGGACUUUAAACCCAUCCCCCUUGAUGUCUUUGACACCAAAUUUCUUGAUAAUCCUUUUGUCAAAGGAUCACUUAAAUUUUCAUUUGAUCUCACAAAGUCAAUUGAUAUAACUCCAUUUGUAAUCAAAUCUUUGACAUAACUAUGUCUCAAACCGAUAUGUCUUGAUUUACCAUUAUACACUUGACUAUAUGCUUUAGCAAGUGUAGCUGCACUAUCACAAUGGAUUGAGAUAUGCGACAAAGGUGUUGGCCACAAUGGUAUAUCACAAAGUAAAUUACGUAGCCAUUCAGCUUCUUUACAGGCCGAAGCAAGUGCUACAAACUCUACUGCCAUUGUUGAAUCGGUGAUACAAGUCUGUUUCUUAGAACCCCAAGAAAUUGCACCUCCACCAAGCAUAAAGAUCCAACCACUUGUCGACGAGUGAUCAUCUUUAUUGGUGAUCCAACUAGCAUCUAAAAAUCCUUCUAAAAUUGAAGGAUAACUGGUAUAACAUAUACCAUAGUCCUUAGUGGCCUUUAAAUACUUUAAAAUUCUGGUUACACCUUGCCAAUGUAACCUACUAGAAUUGCUUGUAUAUCUGCUCAAUAUACCAACUGCAUAUGCAAUAUCAGGUCUAGUACAAGUCAUUGCAUACAUUAAACACCCUAUAACCUUGGCAUAUUCCAUUUGAGAUUUUGGAUCCCCCUCAUUUUUCACAAAAUUUAUUUUGGGAUCCAAUGGUGUUGAGACUGGAAUACAAUCACUUUGAUUGAAUUUGUUAAGAAUCUUUUCAAUAUAAUGUGUUUGAGACAACAUUAUAUUGUUAUCAUGUUUGAAGAUUCUCAUACCAAGAAUGACAUCUGCCUCACUCAUGUCUUUCAUGUCAAAUUUGCUUGAAAGCAAAGUUUUUGUGACUUCAACUUGUUCCAAGUCAGUCCCAAAAAUUAACCUGUCAUCAACAUAUAAACAAAUUAUGACACCUUUGCCAUCAUCAAACUUGCUAUAAAUACAUUUAUCAGAUUCAUUUAUUUUGAACCCACUAGCAAGAAUAACUUGGUCAAAUUUCUGAUGCCAUUGCUUCGGUGCUUGUUUUAGUCCAUAUAAAGACUUUACAAGUUUACACACCUUAUGCUCUUGACCAGGUAUCACAAACCCUUCGUGUUGCUCCAUAUAUAUUUUUUCAUCCAAAUCACCAUUCAAGAAUGCUGUUUUAACAUCCAUUUGGUGAACGACUAGAUUUUGGAUAGAAGCUAUAGCAAGUAGCACUCUAAUUGUAGCAAUUCUAGCUGCUGGUGAAUAUGUGUCAAAAUAGUCCACACCAUACUUUUGUGUGAACCCUUUGGCAACCAACCUGGCCUUAAACUUAUCAAUAGUUCCGUCGAUCUUCAUUUUCUUCUUGAAGAUCCACUUACAACCAAUUGGUUUUGAACCAGGUGGUAAGUCUACUAAUUUCCAGGUUUUAUUACCCAUGAUUGUGUCCAUCUCAUCAUUAAUAACUUCCUUCCAAAAGGGAGCAUCUUGUGAGUUCAUUGCUUCUUCAUAGGUCUUGGGAUCAGCCUCAAUAUUGAAGCAAUAUGAGAUUUGGUUGCUCACUGUAUCUCUAGUUCCUUCAACUAGAUACAUAUAAAAGUCCGAACCGAAGUCUUUUGAUUUUCUAGCUCUUUUGCUCCUUCUCAAUUCAAUGGUUUCAUUUUCACCAUCUUUUAUCAAUUCACUUGAUUUUGGAAUAACAUCUUUUAUAGAGGUGAACCUAUUCUCUUCAAAAAUAGCAUCUCUAGACUCAAUUAUGGUAUUAACCGAAAUUGAAUCAUUAGGUUCAAUUACCAUGAACCUAUAUGCUUUGCUAUUUUGUGCAUAUUCUAAGAAUAUACACUCCACACCUCUUUCUCUCAAUUUCCUUUUUUGAGAUUCUGGGAGUUUUACAACAGCUCUAUAACCCCAAACUUUCAAAUAAUUUAGGUUGGGCUUUCUUUUAUUCCAAAAUUCAUAAGGGGUUAUAGAACUCCUUUUAUUAGGAACUCCGUUAACAAGGCUUCACCCCAAAAUCCUUGACUUAAACCAGAUUUUGACAAAAGUGCAUUAACCAUUUCUGUCAAUACACGAUUUUUCCUUUCGGCUACACCAUUUUGUUGUGGUGUGUAAGGAGCAGUCACCUCAUAUUUUAUCCCAACAGACUCAAAAUAGGUAAUAUCAUAAUAUUCCCCACCUCUAUCUGUCCUUAGACAUUUGAUAAAGGAUUCACAAUGAAGUUCAACUUCUGAUUUGUAUGCCUUAAAUUUUUGCAAAGCUUCACCUUUUGAGUGUAAUAAGAAAACAUGACAGUAUCUACUAUAAUCAUCAAUAAAAGUCACAAAAUAUUUUUUACCACCCAAAGUAGGAGUACCAUGCAAAUCACAUACAUCAAUAUGAAUAAGAUCCAAGAUUUUAGAUGAUCUUUCAACUUUAGGAAACGAAUUUCUUGUGAUUUUCGUUAGCAUGCAUGUAUUGCAUUUUCCUUCAAUCUUAUCAUAAUAUGGCAGCAAAUCAAGUCUCAUCAUUUCAUGCAUUCUUUUGUAAUUAACAUGACCAAUCCUAUUAUGCCACAAUUCAAAAGAAGACUCAACCAAAUAUGCAGAAAUAAUAUCACUCUUAUUAUUUCUAAUAGCAAGUACAUUCAACUUAAACAUCCCAUUGCAAAGAUAACCCUUGCCUACAAACAUACCACCUUUAGACAAAAUAAAUUUGUCAGACUCAAACACAAGUCUAAAGCCAAAUUUAUUUAACAGCCCAGCCGACACCAAGUUCUUCCUAACUUCCGGUACAUAAAACACAUUUGUCAAGGUUACAACAUUUCCGGAAGUAAAUUUUAAUUCUACUUCUCCAAUGCCUUGAACCGGAAUUGUAGCAGAAUUUCCCAUGUAAACAACGGUGGUUUCAUCCACCGGUUUUAUGGACUUGAAAAACGUUCUAUUAUUGCACACGUGUCGCGUAGCUCCAGAAUCAACCCACCAAGCAAAAUCAUCUUCAAUCAUAUUGAUUUCAGAUAUCAUAGCUACAAGAUUUUUGCUUGUGUUUUGGGAAAACUCUUACUUCUUCUUCUUGUUUUGAAAAAUCUUGCACUCGGACUUGUAGUGUCCCUCUUUCUUGCAAUAGAAGCAUUGUCCCUUCUUUCUUUUCUUGGAUUGAUUUUUGGGUUGUUGGCCCUUCUUGCUUCCUUGAGACUUUUCAGUUUGCCUCUCUUCAAUCACAUGCACUUUUGAAGUAGAAUCUUUGUUCUCUUCAAGGAUUUGACUAUCUUUCUUUUCUUGCAUGCGAAUUUCCUCUUCUACUCGAAGAGAUUUAGCAAGAAUCUCAAGAGAGAUAUCCUCUUUCUUAUGUUUGAGGUCUCUUUUGAAAUCUUUCCAAGAAGGUGGUAACUUAUCUAUUAUAGAGCAAACAAUAAUGGCUUCAUCCAUGUGUAGAUUGUGUUGUGUGAAGUGAUUAAGAAGCCUUUCAAUCUCACUAAAUUGCUCCAUAACAGACUUAUUAUCUACCAUUUUAUAAUUAUUAAAAGACGAGACAAGAAACUUCUUACUUGUAGCAUCUUCUUGCAUGUACUUGGACUCCAAUCGAUCCCAAAGUUCCUUGGCGGUAGCAAUUGAAUGGUAGACAUCGAACAGGUUGUCACUCAUGGUAUUGAAGAUGUGACCACGGCAUAUUUCAUCGUCGUUCUCCCAUUUCUGACGGUUUCGGAUGUCUUCAAGAGUUUCUUCAUCGGGAUUGAUCAAUGGUUUUGAUGUGGUCAAAACAUAGACCACUUUGAGUGCAGUGAGAAGGAAACGAACACGUUUUUGCCAACGAAUGAAAUUUCCUCCAUCAAACCUCUCGAGCUUGACAAUAUUGGAUGCCAAAUCUUUCAAGGUACCAGCCAUUGUAGAGUAUAAAUAAAGCCUAAAGAUUGUUGGGUAAAAAGCAAAGAAUUGGCAAAUAUUGUGACAAGAAUUGGUUUCAAAUCGUGAUAGAAAUCACUUUCCUUUAGGCUUUAUUUGUCCGAUAUAAAGUGCAAUAACCUUGGACAAAUAUCCUUUAGGAUAAGAUGAAGUUUUGUUUGUCUUAAACUCUUGCACAAAGCAAGACAAACCCUUUGUGAACUAAGGAGUGCUUUUGAGAGAGUAAGGAUAGUAGGAAAGUGAUUUUCUGCAGCAAACCACUCUCUACUUGACCUCUUUAUAUAGGAAGAUUGUUUGGGAAACAAAGGAUCUCAUUUAACACUUGUAUGAACAGAUUCAAAGUAUUGUGUAUGAAUAGAUUCAA
rnacentral:lncRNA from 1 species